GUAGGUGGCAAGCGUUGUUCGGAAUUAUUGGGCGUAAAGCGCGCGCAGGCGGUUCUUUAAGUCUGAUGUGAAAGCCCACGGCUCAACCGUGGAGGGUCAUUGGAAACUGGAGAACUUGAGUACAGAAGAGGAAAGCGGAAUUCCACGUGUAGCGGUGAAAUGCGUAGAGAUGUGGAGGAACACCAGUGGCGAAGGCGGCUUUCUGGUCUGUAACUGACGCUGAGGCGCGAAAGCGUGGGGAGCAAACAGGGAUUAGAUACCCUGGUAGUCCACGCCGUAAACGAUGAGUGCUAAGUGUUAGGGGGGUUUCCGCCCCCUUAGUGCUGCAGCUAACGCAUUAAGCACUCCGCCUGGGGAUACGGCCGCAAGGCUG
rnacentral:rRNA from 1 species